rnacentral:rRNA from 1 species
CGAGCGAGUGGAUCUCCUUCGGGAGUGAAGCUAGCGGCGGACGGGUGAGUAACACGUGGGCAACCUGCCUCAUAGAGGGGAAUAGCCCUUCGAAAGGAAGAUUAAUACCGCAUAAGAUUGUAGCUUCGCAUGAAGUAGCAAUUAAAGGAGCAAUCCGCUAUGAGAUGGGCCCGCGGCGCAUUAGCUAGUUGGUGAGGUAACGGCUCACCAAGGCGACGAUGCGUAGCCGACCUGAGAGGGUGAUCGGCCACAUUGGGACUGAGACACGGCCCAGACUCCUACGGGAGGCAGCAGUGGGGAAUAUUGCACAAUGGGGGAAACCCUGAUGCAGCAACGCCGCGUGAGUGAUGACGGCCUUCGGGUUGUAAAGCUCUGUCUUCAGGGACGAUAAUGACGGUACCUGAGGAGGAAGCCACGGCUAACUACGUGCCAGCAGCCGCGGUAAUACGUAGGUGGCAAGCGUUGUCCGGAUUUACUGGGCGUAAAGGGAGCGUAGGCGGACUUUUAAGUGAGAUGUGAAAUACCCGGGCUCAACUUGGGUGCUGCAUUUCAAACUGGAAGUCUAGAGUGCAGGAGAGGAGAAUGGAAUUCCUAGUGUAGCGGUGAAAUGCGUAGAGAUUAGGAAGAACACCAGUGGCGAAGGCGAUUCUCUGGACUGUAACUGACGCUGAGGCUCGAAAGCGUGGGGAGCAAACAGG